GGCCCCGUGGUGUAGCGGUUAACAUGCCUGCCUGUCACGCAGGAGAUCGUCGGUUCAAUUCCGAUCGGGGUCGCCA
rnacentral:tRNA from 2 species